rnacentral:rRNA from 1 species
UACGUAGGGCGCAAGCGUUGUCCGGAAUUAUUGGGCGUAAAGAGCUCGUAGGCGGCUUGUCACGUCGAUUGUGAAAGCCCGAGGCUUAACCUCGGGUCUGCAGUCGAUACGGGCUAGCUAGAGUGUGGUAGGGGAGAUCGGAAUUCCAGGUGUAGCGGUGAAAUGCGUAGAUAUCUGGAGGAACACCGGUGGCGAAGGCGGCAUCCUGGACCAACACUGACGCUGAGUGAGCGAAAGCCAGGGGAGCAAACGGG